rnacentral:rRNA from 1 species
CAGCCGCCGCGGGAAUACGAAGGGGGCUAGCGUUGCCCGGAAUGACUGGGCGUAAAGGGCGCGUAGGCGGCGGCCAAAGUCAGGCGUGAAAUUCCUGGGCUCAACCUUGGGGCUGCGCUUGAUACUUGGUUGCUUGAGUGGGGAAGAGGGUCGUGGAACUCCCAGUGUAGAGGUGAAAUUCGUAGAUAUUGGGAAGAACACCGGUGGCGAAAGCACUCUGCUGGGCCGACACUGACACUGAGAGACGAAAGCUAGGGGAGCAAAUGGGAUUAGAUACCCGAGUAGUCCCUGUCUCUUAUAC